rnacentral:rRNA from 1 species
CUGGGAACUGCCUGAUGGAGGGGGAUAACUACUGGAAACGGUAGCUAAUACCGCAUAACGUCGCAAGACCAAAGAGGGGGACCUUCGGGCCUCUUGCCAUCGGAUGUGCCCAGAUGGGAUUAGCUAGUAGGUGGGGUAACGGCUCACCUAGGCGACGAUCCCUAGCUGGUCUGAGAGGAUGACCAGCCACACUGGAACUGAGACACGGUCCAGACUCCUACGGGAGGCAGCAGUGGGGAAUAUUGCACAAUGGGCGCAAGCCUGAUGCAGCCAUGCCGCGUGUAUGAAGAAGGCCUUCGGGUUGUAAAGUACUUUCAGCGGGGAGGAAGGGAGUAAAGUUAAUACCUUUGCUCAUUGACGUUACCCGCAGAAGAAGCACCGGCUAACUCCGUGCCAGCAGCCGCGGUAAUACGGAGGGUGCAAGCGUUAAUCGGAAUUACUGGGCGUAAAGCGCACGCAGGCGGUUUGUUAAGUCAGAUGUGAAA